rnacentral:snRNA from 1 species
GGAUGUUAGGGUGACCUGGCCGCCACCCAUUAAUCACUAGGGCGGGUUCCACUGAUCUGGUGGGCUAGGAGAGUGUCCCCUCAUCCCUUACUGCUCUGUGUGUGUCUUUCCAAAGCUGUGUGCUCAGCUGGUCAAGGAGGACAACCACCCCUGAUGGAGAAGGACCCUUUCCUUGGUCAAGGGUGCACAAGCAGCUGUGUUCCCUUCCUAGAACCUCCAAACAAACUUUCAAAACUGACAGAGAAAUAAGGUAUUUCCAUUAUAAGGAGCAUUGAACAAAUUCAUGACUACCAAACCAGCAACAAAAAAUUCUCAAGGAUAU